UCUAGGAGCCUCAGUCAGUUU
rnacentral:siRNA from 1 species